CUGGGUGUGUAAGCGUUGUGAGGCGUUGAGCUAACCAGUACUAAUUGCUCGUGAGGCUUGACCAUAUAACGCCAAAAUGGUUU
rnacentral:rRNA from 2 species